AAGAAAAAUUUUGUUCAAUUAAUUGCGCAACAAAAUAUUCAUACAGCUGCUUCUUUUUGCUGCAAAGGAUUCUGUGAAAUGUAAGAAACGUAACUUCUUAUCGUGUGCAUGGAAAAGUGGCAAUAUUUACUGAAAUGGAUGCGAGCUUUUAGUUUUCACUGCAUUCACUUGUAAUUUGAGAGCGGAUUGGUUCAUCUGUUUUCUUGCACUUCUAGAAAUCAAUCCUUUUGCCGUGG
rnacentral:misc_RNA from 1 species